rnacentral:tRNA from 2 species
GCCACCGUAGCUCAGUGGUAGAGCUCUCGAUUCGUAAUCGAGCGGUCGUCGGUUCAAAUCCGACCGGUGGCUCCU